rnacentral:rRNA from 1 species
UUUGGUGGCGAUAGCGGAAGGGAACCACACGUACCCAUCGAACACGGCCGUUAAGCCUUCCAGCGCCGAUGGUAUGAACGAAAGGGUCAGGAGGAAGUAGGACGCCGCCAAGC